GUUUUUGGCGGCCCGGAUGGGAGGGCGCAAGCCCUGCCGGUUUUGGCCUCCGCCUGUGCACCGGUCUGCGAACCCGUCCGGGCUGCCACCCAA
rnacentral:antisense_RNA from 1 species